GACGAACGCUGGCGGCGUGCUUAACACAUGCAAGUCGAACGGAAAGGCCCUGCUUUUGUGGGGUGCUCGAGUGGCGAACGGGUGAGUAACACGUGAGUAACCUGCCCUUGACUUUGGGAUAACUUCAGGAAACUGGGGCUAAUACCGGAUAGGAGCUCCUGCUGCAUGGUGGGGGUUGGAAAGUUUCGGCGGUUGGGAUGGACUCGCGGCUUAUCAGCUUGUUGGUGGGGUAGUGGCUUACCAAGGCUUUGACGGGUAGCCGGCCUGAGAGGGUGACCGGCCACAUUGGGACUGAGAUACGGCCCAGACUCCUACGGGAGGCAGCAGUGGGGAAUAUUGCACAAUGGGCGGAAGCCUGAUGCAGCAACGCCGCGUGCGGGAUGAAGGCCUUCGGGUUGUAAACCGCUUUCGCCUGUGACGAAGCGUGAGUGACGGUAAUGGGUAAAGAAGCACCGGCUAACUACGUG
rnacentral:rRNA from 1 species